rnacentral:rRNA from 2 species
AGCGCAUACGGUGGAUGCCUUGGCAGUCAGAGGCGAUGAAAGACGUGGUAGCCUGCGAAAAGCUUCGGGGAGUCGGCAAACAGACUGUGAUCCGGAGAUAUCUGAAUGGGGGAACCCAGCCAUCAUAAGAUGGUUAUCUUGUACUGAAUACAUAGGUGCAAGAGGCGAACCAGGGGAACUGAAACAUCUAAGUACCCUGAGGAAAAGAAAUCAACCGAGAUUCCCUUAGUAGUGGCGAGCGAACGGGGACCAGCCCUUAAGUUGUAUUGAGAUUAGCGGAACGUUCUGGAAAGGACGGCCAUAGUGGGUGAUAGCCCUGUACGCGAAAAUCCCUUUGCAAUGAAAUCGAGUAGGACGGGGCACGAGAAACCUUGUCUGAAUAUGGGGGGACCAUCCUCCAAGGCUAAAUACUACUGACUGACCGAUAGUGAACCAGUACCGUGAGGGAAAGGCGAAAAGAACCGCGGAGAGCGGAGUGAAAUAGAUCCUGAAACCGUAUGCGUACAAGCAGUGGGAGCCCACUUUGUUGGGUGACUGCGUACCUUUUGUAUAAUGGGUCAGCGACUUAUUUUCAGUGGCGAGCUUAACCGAAUAGGGGAGGCGUAGCGAAAGCGAGUCUUAAUAGGGCGUCUAGUCGCUGGGAAUAGACCCGAAACCGGGCGAUCUAUCCAUGGGCAGGUUGAAGGUUGGGUAACACUAACUGGAGGACCGAACCGACUACCGUUGAAAAGUUAGCGGAUGACCUGUGGAUCGGAGUGAAAGGCUAAUCAAGCUCGGAGAUAGCUGGUUCUCCUCGAAAGCUAUUUAGGUAGCGCCUCAUGUAUCACUGUAGGGGGUAGAGCACUGUUUCGGCUAGGGGGUCAUCCCGACUUACCAAACCGAUGCAAACUCCGAAUACCUACAAGUGCCGAGCAUGGGAGACACACGGCGGGUGCUAACGUCCGUCGUGAAAAGGGAAACAACCCAGACCGUCAGCUAAGGUCCCAAAGUCAUGGUUAAGUGGGAAACGAUGUGGGAAGGCUUAGACAGCUAGGAGGUUGGCUUAGAAGCAGCCACCCUUUAAAGAAAGCGUAAUAGCUCACUAGUCGAGUCGGCCUGCGCGGAAGAUGUAACGGGGCUCAAACCAUGCACCGAAGCUACGGGUAUCAUCUUAUGAUGAUGCGGUAGAGGAGCGUUCUGUAAGCCUGUGAAGGUGAGUUGAGAAGCUUGCUGGAGGUAUCAGAAGUGCGAAUGCUGACAUGAGUAACGACAAUGGGUGUGAAAAACACCCACGCCGAAAGACCAAGGUUUCCUGCGCAACGUUAAUCGACGCAGGGUUAGUCGGUCCCUAAGGCGAGGCUGAAAAGCGUAGUCGAUGGAAAACAGGUUAAUAUUCCUGUACUUCUGGUUAUUGCGAUGGAGGGACGGAGAAGGCUAGGCCAGCCUGGCGUUGGUUGUCCAGGUUUAAGGUGGUAGGCUGAGAUCUUAGGUAAAUCCGGGAUCUUAAGGCCGAGAGCUGAUGACGAGUGUUCUUUUAGAACACGAAGUGGUUGAUGCCAUGCUUCCAAGAAAAGCUUCUAAGCUUCAGGUAACCAGGAACCGUACCCCAAACCGACACAGGUGGUUGGGUAGAGAAUACCAAGGCGCUUGAGAGAACUCGGGUGAAGGAACUAGGCAAAAUGGCACCGUAACUUCGGGAGAAGGUGCGCCGGUGGAGGUGAAGCAUUUACUGCGUAAGCCCCUGCCGGUCGAAGAUACCAGGCCGCUGCGACUGUUUAUUAAAAACACAGCACUCUGCAAACACGAAAGUGGACGUAUAGGGUGUGACGCCUGCCCGGUGCCGGAAGGUUAAUUGAUGGGGUUAGCGCAAGCGAAGCUCUUGAUCGAAGCCCCGGUAAACGGCGGCCGUAACUAUAACGGUCCUAAGGUAGCGAAAUUCCUUGUCGGGUAAGUUCCGACCUGCACGAAUGGCGUAACGAUGGCGGCGCUGUCUCCACCCGAGACUCAGUGAAAUUGAAAUCGCUGUGAAGAUGCAGUGUAUCCGCGGCUAGACGGAAAGACCCCGUGAACCUUUACUAUAGCUUUGCACUGGACUUUGAAUUUGCUUGUGUAGGAUAGGUGGGAGGCUUUGAAGCGUGGACGCCAGUCUGCGUGGAGCCAACCUUGAAAUACCACCCUGGCAACUUUGAGGUUCUAACUCAGGUCCGUUAUCCGGAUCGAGGACAGUGUAUGGUGGGUAGUUUGACUGGGGCGGUCUCCUCCUAAAGAGUAACGGAGGAGUACGAAGGUGCGCUCAGACCGGUCGGAAAUCGGUCGUAGAGUAUAAAGGCAAAAGCGCGCUUGACUGCGAGACAGACACGUCGAGCAGGUACGAAAGUAGGUCUUAGUGAUCCGGUGGUUCUGUAUGGAAGGGCCAUCGCUCAACGGAUAAAAGGUACUCCGGGGAUAACAGGCUGAUACCGCCCAAGAGUUCAUAUCGACGGCGGUGUUUGGCACCUCGAUGUCGGCUCAUCACAUCCUGGGGCUGAAGCCGGUCCCAAGGGUAUGGCUGUUCGCCAUUUAAAGUGGUACGCGAGCUGGGUUUAGAACGUCGUGAGACAGUUCGGUCCCUAUCUGCCGUGGACGUUUGAGAUUUGAGAGGGGCUGCUCCUAGUACGAGAGGACCGGAGUGGACGAACCUCUGGUGUUCCGGUUGUCACGCCAGUGGCAUUGCCGGGUAGCUAUGUUCGGAAAAGAUAACCGCUGAAAGCAUCUAAGCGGGAAACUUGCCUCAAGAUGAGAUCUCACUGGAACCUUGA